UACGAGGGGGGCAAGCGUUGUUCGGAAUUAUUGGGCGUAAAGGGCGCGUAGGUGGUGCGGUAAGUCACCUGUGAAAACUCUGGGCUCAACUCAGAGCCUGCAGGCGAAACUGCCGUGCUUGAGUGUGGGAGAGGUGCGUGGAAUUCCCGGUGUAGCGGUGAAAUGCGUAGAGAUGGGGGAGAACACUCGUGGCGAAGGCGGCCAGCUAGACCAGUUCUGACACUGAGGCGCGACAGCGUGGGGAGCAAACAGG
rnacentral:rRNA from 1 species